GGCGGUCCUCAGGUGACGCACCCUGGAAUCACUCUCCCUCCUCUCUAGUUCCAGGUGCAUCACCCGAGAACCGCA
rfam:Myotis davidii contig218713, whole genome shotgun sequence.